UACAGAGGUCUCAAGCGUUUGUUCGGAUUCAUUGGGCGUAAAGGGUGCGUAGGCGGCGCGGUAAGUCGGGUGUGAAAUUUCGAGGCUUAACUUCGAAACUGCAUUCGAUACUGCCGUGCUAGAGGACUGGAGAGGAGACUGGAAUUUACGGUGUAGCGGUGAAAUGCGUAGAUAUCGUAAGGAAGACCAGUGGCGAAGGCGGGUCUCUGGACAGUUCCUGACGCUGGAGG
rnacentral:rRNA from 1 species